AACGUAGGUACCGAGCGUUAUCCGGAUUCACUGGGCGUAAAGGGCGCGUAGGCGGCUUUGUAAGUCGGGGGUGAAAGCCUGUGGCUCAACCACAGAAUUGCCUUCGAUACUGCAUGGCUUGAGACCGGAAGAGGUAAGUGGAACUGCGAGUGUAGAGGUGAAAUUCGUAGAUAUUCGCAAGAACACCAGUGGCGAAGGCGGCUUACUGGUCCGGUUCUGACGCUGAGGCGCGAAAGCGUGGGGAGCAAACAGG
rnacentral:rRNA from 1 species